rnacentral:rRNA from 1 species
CCUACGGGUGGCAGCAGUAGGGAAUAUUGCUCAAUGGGGGAAACCCUGAAGCAGCAACGCCGCGUGGAGGAUGAAGGUUUUCGGAUUGUAAACUCCUUUUGUUAGAGAAGAUAAUGACGGUAUCUAACGAAUAAGCACCGGCUAACGCCGUGCCAGCAGCCGCGGUAAUACGGAGGGUGCAAGCGUUACUCGGAAUCACUGGGCGUAAAGAGCGCGUAGGCGGGAUAGCAAGUCAGAUGUGAAAUCCUAGGGCUUAACCAUAGAACUGCAUUUGAAACUGUUAUUCUAGAGUGUGGGAGAGGUAUGUGGAAUUCGUGGUGUAGCGGUGAAAUGCGUAGAUAUCAAGAGGAAUACUCAUUGCGAAGGCGGCCUACUGGAACGUAACUGACGCUGAUGCGCGAAAGCGUGGGGAGCAAACAGGAUUAGAUACCCGGGUAGUC